UUCUUGUAUUGUUGAUACUAGGAGAAUUCUAGCAUUAUCGCAUGUCACGCGGAAGCGCGCGAGAGCUAUUGAACGCGUUGCUCCACGCGGUCACUCUUGAGGAGUCCUUGAUACUAAUAAAUAGCAUAGAUGAUUUCCUUCUUUUCGAUUAUUGGAAGUACUCGGGGAGUGAAGUGACGUUUACUAAUGUGCUUAUUUUUUUUACAUGAACAGCCUUCUACGUGUAUGAGUUCGAAGUCCCAACUAAUCGCACUGCAUGGUCUUCAAUGUCGUCGUCUGCUUAUGAAGUUUGAUAUCAUGGCAGUGAGGAUGAACUACCAUCCCUGCAUGCUUGAGGCCCGACCUUGUACUCGGGAUUAGCCCGCGCUCCAACAGUUGCGCCCUCACGGUACUUCAGCAAGAGAAGGACGGCCCCCUGGGAUUACAGAUCAUGAAGGAUGGGGAAUGGCUCCCAGUCCAUAUCGUCCAAAAUGCAUCAUCUGUCAUCAACAUAGGAGACACCAAGAGGAGUGACCAACGAGGAAAGAGACCGGCUCUCAAUCGCGACAUUCUUCCACCUGAGCAAGAAAGCCGAGGUGAGGCCCCUGCCCGAGCUGGUGGACAAGAGCAACCUUCUGAGGACAUACCCUCAGAAAAAGAGUACACCCAGUGCUAACUCAACAGCAAGCUUCAAGGCAAGAGGUCGCUCCACUUCGUCAAGAUUUGAGAUUAAGAAUUUCUUCUCUUUUUUUUUUCCCCCCUUUUCUUUUCCUCCCUGAAGAAUCUCUUCCUUCGGUUUAAGAAUUUCUUUAAUACUAUACGGUCCUCAAUCAUUUUCUCUU